rnacentral:misc_RNA from 1 species
UACAGAGGGUGCAAACGUUGCUCGGAAUUACUGGGCGUAAAGCGCGUGUAGGCGGUCCGUUAAGUUGGUAGUGAAAUCCCAUGGCUCAACCAUGGAAGUGCUGCCAAUACUGGCGGGCUAGAGUGCCGGGGAGGGUGGCGGAAUUCCCAGUGUAGAGGUGAAAUUCGUAGAUAUUGGGAGGAACACCGGUGGCGAAGGCGGCCACCUGGACGGUAACUGACGCUGAGACGCGAAAGCGUGGGUAGCAAACAGG